GAGAGACAGAGAGCUAUUUCAUGUGUAGCCCAUGAAAUUGAUAGAAUGAUAAGAAAAGUGAGUUCUCCUAAACU